rnacentral:piRNA from 1 species
UGCCACCAGCCUCUCCCACGGCCC